GUUCUUGUAAGAGCAGCACAUAUAAUAAAAUUAGAACAGUACAGAGAGGAUUUGUGUGGCCCAUGCACACGAAUGCCACACAAACAACCAUUAAAAUGAUAGAGGAUUU